CCUACGGGGGGCAGCAGUGGGGAAUAUUGCGCAAUGGGCGAAAGCCUGACGCAGCGACGCCGCGUGAGGGAUGAAGGUCUUCGGAUCGUAAACCUCUGUCAGCAGGGAAGAACGGUCACUGUGCUAAUCAGCAGUGAAUUGACGGUACCUGCAAAGGAAGCACCGGCUAACUCCGUGCCAGCAGCCGCGGUAAUACGGAGGGUGCGAGCGUUAAUCGGAAUUACUGGGCGGAAAGCGCUCGUAGGCGGUAUGUCAAGUCAAGGGUGAAAUCCCCGGGCUCAACGUGGGAACUGCCUUUGAAACUGGCAAACUGGAGUGUGUGAGAGGAUAGUGGAAUUCCAGGUGUAGGAGUGAAAUGCGUAGAUAUCUGGAGGAACAUCAGUGGCGAAGGCGACUAUCUGGCACAUAACUGACGCUGAGGAGCGAAAGCGUGGGUAGCAAACAGGAUUAGAUACCCGGGUAGUC
rnacentral:rRNA from 1 species